rnacentral:rRNA from 1 species
UACGUAGGGUGCGAGCGUUAAUCGGAAUUACUGGGCGUAAAGCGUGCGUAGACGGUUAUUUAAGUCGGAUGUGAAAGCCCCGGGCUCAACCUGGGAAUUGCAUUCGAGACUGAAUAGCUAGGGUGCGGUAGAGGGAAGCGGAAUUUCCGGUGUAGCGGUGAAAUGCGUAGAUAUCGGGAGGAACACCAGUGGCGAAGGCGACUACCUGGCCUGUUCUUGACGCUGAGGCGCGAAAGCUAGGGUAGCAAACGGG